GACACAUUACGAUACAUGUAUCGACUUCUAAGUUCCAUGAAACCGCGUAAUCUGUCGUCUAACGUUAACGUCGAAGUAUACUUUCGUAUCUGACUGUUAUUCAACGCCAGUGUUAUUAAUAGGCAGCGAAUAUAUCUAUGCAAAUGUAUAUUUUCACGAAGAUAAUUGGAAAAAACGGAAUCCAGAUAGAGAAUUGUUAUUUUACGUGUCAAGUAACUCUACUAACUGUUGCUAAUUCUGUCUGCGCUUACAUUACCGCUGCGAAACGUUAUCUGGAAAGGCUUCAACAUCGACGAACAGAUGGUUACUAGCCGUCGUAUCUCUGUUUUUACGUUUGCGUCACGUUAAGGUCUCAACCAUCGUAAACACGACUCUAAUUCGUAAGAAGCUAUCCGAGGUCUGCCGAGUACAGCAGGUUCGGAACCAAACGAUCGCUCAGCCGCCGUCUACACCUGCGUUAACCUACGCCUCUGCAACCAUGCAUCGAGUCUACCCCAGCAAAGAAGUAGCAAUUAUCGCCGAUAGCAUCGAAGGAACAUCUAUAACCGAUUACGCGUGUGCCAUUGCGAAGCUUUCUAACUAAUCUGCUAUUCGUUUCGUUUCUCGUAUAUCGAACGAUCGUGUAUGCGUGUAUCUGGACAGUAGGCAAUCCGCUUUUCAACUUCUCUGCAAACACUCGACGAUCGUUGUCAAGGAUACCAUCGUUGGGAUAAGACCUUUAAUUUCUUCGUCGAAAAGAAUUAUCUUCUCCGGCGUAUCACCGUCUAUCCCUAACGAGUACAUCGAGAAAUUCCUAGCGGUCAGUGAUAUUAACCCUUUGAGUGCUGGAUACUCGCGGCCUAUGCCGUCCGUACGGACGGUGCGCGUCUAGCGCUGACGUUCGCUGUGGACGGAAUACUUUUUCGUUAGACUGAACUCUGUUGAUUGACUAUUCAAAGCACAAAUCGUUAUAAGUUAUAGCAAUUCUUUUGCGGGAUAUUAAAUGAUUGAAGAAAUUUUUUAAUUAUUUUUAAUUAUUUAUUAUAAACAUUGAAAUUUACAAUUAACUAGAAUUUGGGUAAUAAACUAGAAAACUAAAUUUAGUAAAUAGAACACAAGUUAAUAAUUUAGUUGUGUGUGAAAAAUUCAGUGCUUGAGAAAACUAAAAAAAUCAGAUGUAGAGUUUUCUUAUAAGUGGUGACUACUUCAACAAUAACGAGGCACUAUUGGCAUUUGUUUACUGCCGUAAGGAAUGCAUUUAUAUUUAUUUCACACAAACGUAAUAGUAUUACUUCUGCGUAG
rnacentral:misc_RNA from 1 species